GGCUGAUGGAGCGGCGGCAGGCUGGGCACCAGAGCUGCGCUGGCCCAGCUUGGCAAGCAGAAGAUGACCUCAGUGACCAGAGUUCAAAACAAAGAACAAGACUGAAGAAAGUCUCACCCUGAGUGACUGGCUGCUGUCCAUACAUAUUCUUUAAAAACAAAGGUGCUUUCAAUGCACAGGGACAGAGGAUAAAAGAAUAAACAUGAUGGUGCCUUGCAUUUCAAAAGAAUCUCUUUGCAAAUGCUUCUGAUCUACCGAGGGCUAAUAUUCUCCAGUUCUGCCUUCCUUUCCAGGAGGAAUGCAGUGACACUGAGUUUGAAAUCUAAUUGGUGAAUGGGACUUCAGGAGCAAGGGGGAAGUCUUCUCUUUUUGCCCUAGCAGAGAUGAAGGUCCCCUGGCUGGAGCCCAAGACAGGGCUGUCUGUCUGCCUGUGCCACCACACAAUGCCAGACGUCAGACUCUCUCUCAGACUGCUGAAAACAUCUCAGCCUGGUGACUUCCUCUCUCAGCCUUGUUGGCUGUUCGAAAAGAUCAUCAAGUUGAGCACACCAGCACCCAUGACACUUUUCACCUUCCUCAGUACCGUGGGUGACCUCUGGAUUCCUGAGCUCACCAUAGCCAAAAAUCUGUACAGCUCUCUCCUUGGGAGAUCUGUCUGGGUCAUCAGCCCAGAAAGAUAGUUGCCAGGGCACAUGGAUGAUGAGACUGCUGUAUACCCAUCCAAUGGGCCUCUAGGAUUGCCUGCAGUGUCGAUGGCUCCUGAACCCCACCUAAGAGAAGAACUCCCUGCCUUCACUGGUCUCACAUGCAAUAUUGAUCAACAAACAUGUGAGCAUCCAUGGCAAGCACUGCUAGAGCACUGACAAGUGUGCAUCUCCCAGCCAGUACAGCCUUCAUCGUGGUACACAACUGGACUUACCCAAGACAAGGACAGCUACCAACAGCUGACUUUUAUCAUACAGGACUGCUUCAGGACUGCACUCCAUUGCUGUGAAUGGCAAUGAUUCACUGUCCCAAAAAGCCUUUUGAAGCUUGUUGGCUCGUUCACCAGUGUUACAGUCCCUAACAUGAGCAUAUGUUGUGAAGCCGCAGAGGAAGGGUCAAUGUUAGUGGAUGAGCUGACCCUGCUUGUCCUGUGCUCAGCCUCUGAUCUGAUGGAACACUCUCUAGCUUAGGUGUGGCAACCAUAUCUCUGUUAGUGUGGUAUUGAGCUAGAGAUGGUUCAAGCUGAGUGCUAUUCCUGUGAUCUCACCCACAAGACCUUCCUUCCUUUCUGGUAAAAACUGAGCUCUGUGUGUACUGAAAAAAGUAGUCCAGAUCCAACUCAGCUAUUCUGGGGGAACAGGAGGAUUCAAGACUGCUCUCCAUCAAAGGUCUGGCAAAAGAAAAACAGAAAAACAGCCAAAAGCAGUGACGUACACAAACCCCAAAUCUCCUGGGUUCACUGGAGUUUUUAAGAACGUAGAAGUAUCUCCUAAGGCAGAUGGAAAUAUCCCUUCUUCUACCCACUGUCCUGGUGGGAUCUGAUCCCCCACGUGGGAUCUGUACAAGUUUCUUUAUCAUCACAAUCUGUCUCCAUCCCUCAGUUCCCUCAUGCCGUUCAGAGAAGUUUGUCCAUACAGAAUAUUUGUCAAUACUCCAAAUAAACGGCAUCAUGCUUCCUUGUUUCUCUCUCUGUAUCUCCCUGUUCCUGACAUAAGUGAAAAUCCUACUGGGCAGGACAGUUCUUUCUUACUGUAUUUGUACAACAGGUAGCCUGUUGGCUUUGUGGUCUGUUAUUGGGAACACUGCCAGCAGUGCUGACUUUUUGGUGAAGAUGAAUAAUAGAAUUUUCUAGCAUGCCAUUGUUUUUCCAAUAAAUUUCUCACAUGUUGCAUUAAAUAUGUACACAAUUUGUGGCUCAGGUCCCUUUGAUUUAUGCUUUCGGGGGAAGGAUACACUCAAACAAAAAUGCCCUUCUGAAAUGUGAUGACAUAGUCUUGCCCAACAGAUGAAGUGGAAAUGGAGCAGCACUAUAAAGCACUAAGUG